UUCAAACAGUAACUUUCCAAAAGCCAGGAGUAAUACCAAGAUCUCCAAGAAAGCAGCUGGGUUCAGAAGGCCGGGUGCGGUGGCUCACGCCUGUCAUCCCAGCACUUUGGGAGGCAGAGGCAGGCAGAUCACAAGGAUCAGAUGUGGCCGCCCAGCAGUUGUGCACAUAGGAGGAGAAGGGGCCAGGUGGGAAAAGGGAGCAAGAGGCAGGAAAGAGCACAGACUUCGACGUUCAGACCUGGGUUCCCGUCCAGUUCCAUUCCUUGCACAGGGAAUCCCUGACAUCGUCAUCCGUCUCCUGUGCCUUUCCGCUGGGUCAGCCUCCUCCCACCAAGCUUCUGACCCACUGUCAUCCGCAGCUGCCACUCUAGCUGCAGAGCUCGACUGGGCUCUGGUUUCUCAGAAGAGCUCAGAGGACCUGGCUCCUCCCUCUUUGCUUCUGAACUGCAUUUCUUUCCUUAUUACUCAGUGUCCACACCCACGGUGGCUG
rnacentral:lncRNA from 1 species